AACGAACGCUGGCGGCAUGCCUAACACAUGCAAGUCGAACGAGACCUUCGGGUUUAGUGGCGCACGGGUGCGUAACGCGUGGGAACCUGCCCUUAGGUUCGGAAUAACUCCCCGACAGGGGUGCUAAUACCGGAUACUGUCUUCGGUCCAAAGGUUUAUCGCCUUUGGAUGUGCCCGCGUUGGAUUAGCUAGUUGGUAGGUUAAAAGCCUACCAAGGCGAAGAUCAAUAGCUGGUCUGAGAGGAGGAACAGCCACACUGGGACUGAGACACGGACCAGCAUCCUACGGGAGGCAGCAGUGGGGAAUAUUGGACAAUGGGCGAAAGCCUGAUCCAGCAAUGCCGCGUGAGUGAUGAAGGCCUUAGGGUUGUAAAGCUCUUUUACCCGGGAUGAUAAUGACAGUACCGGGAGAAUAAGCUCCGGCUAACUCCGUG
rnacentral:rRNA from 1 species